ACUCCUACGGGAGGCAGCAGUGAGGAAUAUUGGACAAUCAACGAAAGUUGGAUCCAGCAACGCCGCGUGGAGGAUGAAGGCCUUUGGGUCGUAAACUCCUUUUCUGGGGGAAGAGGAAGGACGGUACCCCAGGAAUAAGUCACGGCUAACUACGUGCCAGCAGCCGCGGUAAUA
rnacentral:rRNA from 1 species